rnacentral:rRNA from 1 species
CACGUAGGGCGCGAGCGUUGUCCGGAAUUACUGGGCGUAAAGGGCUCGUAGGCGGCCAACUAAGUCAGACGUGAAAUCCCUCAGCUUAACUGGGGAACUGCGUCUGAUACUGGAUGGCUUGGAUUCGGGAGAGGAAUGCGGAAUUCCAGGUGUAGCGGUGAAAUGCGUAGAUAUCGAGAGGAACACCUGCGGCGAAGGCGGGUUGCUGGGCUGAUACUGACGCUGAUGCGCGAAAGCCAGGGGAGCGAACGGG